rnacentral:rRNA from 1 species
AUUGAACGCUGGCGGCAGGCCUAACACAUGCAAGUCGAGCCGAGCGGCCGACGGGUGGGUAAUGCCUAUGAAUCUGCCUGGUAGUUGGGGAUGACUUCCGGAUGCGGACGCUAACUACUCCCGCUCUCUGAUGAGUCUAGGUCGGAUUAGUUAGUUGGUGGGUUAAAGGCUUACCAAGGCGACGAUCCGUACCUGGUCUGAGAGGAUGAUCAGUCACACUGGAACUGAGACACGGACCAGACUCCUACGGGAGGCAGCAGUGGGGAAUAUUGGACAAUGGGCGAAAGCCUGAUCCAGCCAUGCCGCGUGUGUGAAGAAGGUCUUCGGGUUGUAAAGCACUUUCAGUUGGGAGGCGUUACCAACAGAAGAAGCACCGGCUAACUUCGUGCCAGCAGCCGCGGUAAUUC